GUGUGUCUGUGUCCGUGUGGAUAGCGUUCAGCACCAAGGACAGGUGUGUUUGUGUGUGUGUGUGUGGAUGGUGUUCAGCACCAAGGAUAGGUGUGUUUGUGU
rnacentral:pre_miRNA from 1 species